rnacentral:rRNA from 1 species
AGAACGAACGCUGGCGGCAUGCCUAAUACAUGCAAGCCGAACGAACUCUUCGGAGUUAGUGGCGCACGGGUGCGUAACGCGUGGGAAUCUGCCCCUUGGUUCGGAAUAACAGUUGGAAACGACUGCUAAUACCGGAUGAUGACGAGAGUCCAAAGAUUUAUCGCCAAGGGAUGAGCCCGCGUAGGAUUAGCUAGUUGGUGAGGUAAAGGCUCACCAAGGCAACGAUCCUUAGCUGGUCUGAGAGGAUGAUCAGCCACACUGGGACUGAGACACGGCCCAGACU